CCUUCUCAACUUCUUAUACGUCUGCUCUCUUUUUCUUUCUUCAUCUUUGUCUCCUUCUAUUUUUUGGUGAAAAAACUUUGACGAUUUUAGUUUACUAUUUUUAUUUGCUCAGGUUUCUUCUCUGGUUUCGAAAUUACAGGCAAAAAUCAUGGCAAGGCGCUGCAUAUGGUUUUCUUGGACUCUUCUUUCCAGCAGUAGACCAUCAACACUCAGUUCCUAUCCAUCCCUUCUGGGCCAGCGCCUUCACCCUCACCGUUCUCUUUCCACCAUCCUCACCAGGCACGUCGCUCUUUCUCGGUAUGUACAAAACAUCCCACGUUAAGCACAAAUUAAUCGCCCACCGUGGAACUCGAGCCCGCGAGCACAAGGUUAAGAGCCUUGCGCUCUACCAACUGAGCUAGACGGCUUAAUUUAAAGUAAAGUGUACUUUUUUAAUUUGUUUAAUGUAAUUUUCAGGACUAAUGGACUACUGGGAUGCACUCGGUCGCUGCUAUGUCUGACAUCACAUAUCCAAAUGCAGAAACGCACUUAUUACUAUGGUACCUUUUUCUGUCGCACUUUCCCUCAUCGCUAGUUUUCAAUUGUGAGUCCUAAUAAUAUGCUAAUAAAAGUAGCAAUUUUGCAAAGUACUUUGAGCCCUCUUCUUCUCAUGUGAUUCCUCGACUUUAGCUAGCCAUUUUAAACUUUAAGGUUGAUUUUGGAAUUGAAUCACAGAAUGCUUUAUUGCAUGCCUCAUCAGUUUUCUUUUCUAUUGCCAGGUGUAGCCAUAAAGCAGAAUACAUACAUUGAUAAAAAGGAGUACUAAGUUUUACCUUUGUUUAUGUUAUGAGUGAUACAACUUUUAGUUGGACCAUGGAGAAACAUGUUUAUAGCAAUUAGAACUGAUCUCACACUUUUGGUAGUCACUAGGGCUGAUAGUUCUAAAAGAGUAGAAGAACAUGAUCGGGUAGUCACACACUUCUUGUACCAUUUGAAAUAAAAUAAUUGUUGGGAAAU